UAAAUGAAAGCCAAAAUAGAGGCACCUAGCUGUUAAUUAGGAGAAUGUAAUUUAAAUUUACUCAUUUAGUUAAUAAGGAAGAUA
rnacentral:tRNA from 1 species